rnacentral:lncRNA from 1 species
UAACUUCAGAAAGCUGAUUGUCUAUGUGGUAUAGAAACUACAGAUUUAAUUAGGUUUUUUUUGUUUUGUAUUUGUUUUACAGAGACAAAUGUUACUUCAGAUAACUCCAGUGACAGAACAGGGCAGAAGAGUGAUGGGUUCAGGAAUGAUAACCACUGGAAUGUCAUGAGCAUUUGGCAAUCACUGCUUUUGCCUUGAAGGUACAUUGGAUCUUUGCUGUGGAGAAUGACCAUAGUGCUUUAAAAUCUAA